rnacentral:rRNA from 1 species
AUGAGGGUGGCUCAGGCCCGCCUCCCUGCCGACAUCGCAGCGGCGGAGGCAGAGGCACGCGCUGCCAUGGAGAAGGAAGCUAUCUGCGCCCGCAUCUUGAAGAAGCGGCAGCGGAGGAACAUGCGCGCCCUCGCGCAAGAGCAGAAUCGGGUUGUCCGUGCCAUGUCUGGACUUCCUCCCAAGAGAAGGAGCAGAGCGACGGGCCGGACAGCUCCGACGAAGAGCAGACCCGGCUUGAUCCCUACUGCAUUUUCGACCGCUACUUCCACGAGAUGGACGACAAGGGCGCCGGGAAGGGCAAAGGCAGCCAUGGAUGAUCUUCUCCAUAGCUAG